rnacentral:rRNA from 1 species
GAUGAACGCUGGCGGCGUGCUUAACACAUGCAAGUCGAACGAAGCACUUUAUUUGAUUUCCUUCGGGAAUGAUUAUUUUGUGACUGAGUGGCGGACGGGUGAGUAACGCGUGGAUAACCUGCCUUGUACAGGGGGGUAACAGUUGGAAACGGCUGCUAAUACCGCAUAAGCGAACAGCAUCGCAUGAUGCAGUGUGAAAAACUUCGGUGGUGUAAGAUGGAGCCGCGUUGGAUUAGCUAGUUGGUGAGGUAACGGCCCACCAAGGCGACGAUCAGUAGCCGACCUGAGAGGGUGAACGGCCACAUUGGAACUGAGACACGGUCCAAACUCCUACGGGAGGCAGCAGUGGGGAAUAUUGCACAAUGGGGGAAACCCUGAUGCAGCAACGCCGCGUGAACGAUGAAGGCCUUUGGGUCGUAAAGUUCUGUUCUAGGUGAUGAAAACUGACAGUAACCUAGGAGAAAGCCCCGGCUAACUCCGUG